rnacentral:rRNA from 1 species
AACUCCCAACCCUUUGUGACCUUACCUAUCGUUGCUUCGGCGGGAUCGCCCCGGCGCCUUCGGGCCCGGAACCAGGCGCCCGCCGGAGGCCCCAAACUCUUAUGUCUUUAGUGGUUUUCUCCUCUGAGUGACACAUAAACAAAUAAAUAAAAACUUUCAACAACGGAUCUCUUGGUUCUGGCAUCGAUGAAGAACGCAGCGAAAUGCGAUAAGUAAUGUGAAUUGCAGAAUUCAGUGAAUCAUCGAAUCUUUGAACGCACAUUGCGCCCGCCAGUAUUCUGGCGGGCAUGCCUGUUCGAGCGUCAUUUCAACCCUCAGGCCCCCAGUGCCUGGCGUUGGGGAUCGGCGUGGGCGGCGACGGCUCUCCGGAGCCCGAGCCAAUGCCUGCCGGCCCCGAAAUUCAGUGGCGGUCUCGCUGUAGUCCCCCUCUGCGUAGUAGCACAACUCGCAUUGGAGCUCGGCGGUGGCCAUGCCGUAAAACACCCCACUUCUGAAAGUUGACCUCGGAUCAGGUAGGAAUACCCGCUGAACUUAAGCAUAUCAAUAAGCGGAGGA